rnacentral:rRNA from 1 species
GACGAACGCUGGCGGCGUGCCUAAUACAUGCAAGUCGAACGCUUCUUUCCUCCCGAGUGCUUGCACUCAAUUGGAAAGAGGAGUUGCGGACGGGUGAGUAACACGUGGGUAACCUACCCAUCAGAGGGGGAUAACACUUGGAAACAGGUGCUAAUACCGCAUAACAGUUUAUGCCGCAUGGCAUAAGAGUGAAAGGCGCUUUCGGGUGUCGCUGAUGGAUGGACCCGCGGUGCAUUAGCUAGUUGGUGAGGUAACGGCUCACCAAGGCCACGAUGCAUAGCCGACCUGAGAGGGUGAUCGGCCACACUGGGACUGAGACACGGCCCAGACUCCUACGGGAGGCAGCAGUAGGGAAUCUUCGGCAAUGGACGAAAGUCUGACCGAGCAACGCCGCGUGAGUGAAGAAGGUUUUCGGAUCGUAAAACUCUGUUGUUAGGGAAGAACAAGGACGUUAGUAACUGAACGUCCCCUGACGGUAUCUAACCAGAAAGCCACGGCUAACUACGUG